CCUACGGGGGGCAGCAGUGGGGAAUAUUGGACAAUGGGGGGAACCCUGAUCCAGCCAUGCCGCGUGUGUGAAGAAGGCCCUCGGGUUGUAAAGCACUUUCAGUGAGGAAGAACGCCUGGUGGUUAAUACCCAUCAGGAAAGACAUCACUCACAGAAGAAGCACCGGCUAACUCCGUGCCAGCAGCCGCGGUAAUACGGAGGGUGCGAGCGUUAAUCGGAAUUACUGGGCGUAAAGCGCGCGUAGGUGGCUUGAUAAGCCGGUUGUGAAAGCCCCGGGCUCAACCUGGGAACGGCAUCCGAAACUGUCAAGCUAGAGUGCAGGAGAGGAAGGUAGAAUUCCCGGUGUAGCGGUGAAAUGCGUAGAGAUCGGGAGGAAUACCAGUGGCGAAGGCGGCCUUCUGGACUGACACUGACACUGAGGUGCGAAAGCGUGGGUAGCAAACAGGAUUAGAUACCCGAGUAGUC
rnacentral:rRNA from 1 species